AUUGAACGCUGGCGGCAGGCCUAACACAUGCAAGUCGAGCGGAUGAAGGGAGCUUGCUCCUGGAUUCAGCGGCGGACGGGUGAGUAAUGCCUAGGAAUCUGCCUGGUAGUGGGGUAUAACGUCCGGAAACGGGCGCUAAUACCGCAUACGUCCUGAGGGAGAAAGUGGGGGAUCUUCGGACCUCACGCUAUCAGAUGAUCCUAGGUCGGAUUAGCUAGUUGGUGGGGUAAAGGCCUACCAAGGCGACGAUCCGUAACUGGUCUGAGAGGAUGAUCAGUCACACUGGAACUGAGACACGGUCCAGACUCCUACGGGAGGCAGCAGUGGGGAAUAUUGGACAAUGGGCGAAAGCCUGAUCCAGCCAUGCCGCGUGUGUGAAGAAGGUCUUCGGAUUGUAAAGCACUUUAAGUUGGGAGGAAGGGCAGUAAGUUAAUACCUUGCUGUUUUGACGUUACCAACAGAAUAAGCACCGGCUAACUUCGUG
rnacentral:rRNA from 1 species